AAUCAAUCCUCUAUCUCUCAAGAAAUUAUCUUCAAAUAGUGUAUAGAAGAGGUAGGAGCACUAGUAAAGUUGGGAAUUCUUAUAACGUUUAACUAAGCUUGGAAAAUAAUCCUUCAGAGGAGGAGGUCUCACAAAUCAAACCAAAUAGGGUGGUUUGUGUUUUGUGAUGAACAAGUCCUGGAUCUGCAUGAAGCAAGACCCAUUGCAUGAUAGAAUUGGUUCAUAAGAUCAAUAGCGUUGGAGGCAGGACACUACAAGCUAUAGUCUCCUUGUAAGAACUUCAAACUCCACGAGGUUCAUUUGCUUUAUUGCUUGUUGCUUUCAAUCAAUUAGCAGCUACUCAAUGAUUUUAACACAAAAAUCUUUACUGUUUAAGAGUUCUACAUGGACAACCAAAUCCUAUAUUGUUUUUGGUCCAGUUCUAAGAGCAGGUUAUUAAUCAUGUUUAAAUCAAUGUCUGGUGAUUGAUGAGGUCACAGAUGCAACUAAGAUCAGAUAUUAUAUGGAAACACUUGAAAGACAGUACACAUUAUUAUGCGUAAGCAACUGAAAACUCCAGAAAUGGAGAACUGUACAGAACUGGUGGAGAACAUAAGCUAUUCAUCAUUUUUCAUUUAGACA